rnacentral:rRNA from 1 species
UCGACGAAACCUGAAAGGCGCAAUGAAAGUGAAGGUCGACCGUCGGUUCCUUUCGGGGAGCCGCGGUGCAGGCCGAGGCGGGAUCCGAAGGAAGAGAAGGAAAUCCCUUGGAUUUUUGAAAUUUUGAAAAAAGCCGGGUCGGGGACCGCCGAUCCCGUUCCGUUACCUUCCCACGGCUUGCCUCUGGCCGCGUUCCGGGCGUCAAAAACUCGGGACGCGGUAACGCAGCCGGUUCGGUGGGGUUUCGCUCAGGGAGAGGCUAUACCUCGCGGCGUGGGGCUGCUUCUCGCGGCUCUGCGCUCGAGGCGAAACCUGUAAAAGAAAACCCCGUCACCCCGGUCGGCGCACCGCCGGCCCGUCUCUUCCGCAUCGUCGGUGAGGCGGAGCCAGAGCGUACACGUUGGGACCCGAAAGAUGGUGAACUAUGCUUGGGCAGGACGAAGCCAGAGGAAACUCUGGUGGAGGUCCGUAGCGAUUCUGACGUGCAAAUCGAUCGUCGGACCUGAGUAUAGGGGCGAAAGACUAAUCGAACCGUCUAGUAGCUGGUUCCCUCCGAAGUUUCCCUCAGGAUAGCUGGCGCUCGGUGAGGAACGCAGUCUCAUCCGGUAAAGCGAAUGAUUAGAGGCCUUGGGGCCGAAACGACCUCAACCUAUUCUCAAACUUUCAAUGGGUGAGAAGUCCGGCAUGCUCGACUGAAGCCCGGACGGCAUCCGGCCCAAAAAACAAAACGAACGGAUGCAUAAAAACAAAAAAAAGACGGCGGCGCGUUUGCUUUUCCCGUUUGCGUGGCUUGCCACGUCGAGCGGGUAGGCGCGCGAUU